rnacentral:rRNA from 1 species
AUACGGAGGGUGCAAGCGUUAAUCGGAAUUACUGGGCGUAAAGCGUACGUGGGCGGCGUGUUAAGCAAGAUGUGAAAGCCCCGGGCUCAACCUGGGAAUUGCAUUUUGAACUGGCAUGCUAGAGUCCUGAAGAGGGUGGUAGAAUUUCCAGUGUAGCGGUGAAAUGCGUAGAUAUUGGAAGGAAUACCAGUGGCGAAGGCGGCCACCUGGUCAGAGACUGACGCUGAGGUACGAAAGCGUGGGGAGCAAACAGGAUUAGAUACCCUGGUAGUCCACGCCGUAAACGAUGUCAACUAGUUGUUCGUGUCAUUAAGACGUGAGUAACGCAGCUAACGCACUAAGUUGACCGCCUGGGGAGUACGGCCGCAAGGUUAAA